rnacentral:rRNA from 1 species
GAUGAACGCUGGCGGCGUGCCUAAUACAUGCAAGUCGAGCGAACAGACGAGGAGCUUGCUCCUCUAACGUUAGCGGCGGACGGGUGAGUAACACGUGGAUAACCCACCUAUAAGACUGGGAUAACUUCGUGAAACCGGAGCUAAUACCGGAUAAUAUAUUGAACCGCAUGGUUCAAUAGUGAAAGACGGUUUUGCUGUCACUUAUAGAUGGAUCCGCGCCGCAUUAGCUAGUUGGUAAGGUAACAGCUUACCAAGGCAACGAUGCGUAGCCGACCUGAGAGGGUGAUCGGCCACACUGGAACUGAGACACGGCCCAGACUCCUACGGGAGGCAGCAGUAGGGAAUCUUCCGCAAUGGGCGAAAGCCUGACGGAGCAACGCCGCGUGAGUGAUGAAGGUCUUCGGAUCGUAAAGCUCUGUUGUUAGGGAAGAACAAAUGUGUAAGUAACUAUGCACGUCUUGACGGUACCUAAUCAGAAAGCCACGGCUAACUACGUG